rnacentral:misc_RNA from 1 species
GGAAGUAAAAGUCGUAAACAAGGUUUCCGUAGGUGAACCUGCGGAAGGAUCAUUAUUGUAUAACCGAGGUGCGAGGGCUGUCGCUGACCCGAAAGGUCGUGCACGCCCGAGUGCCCUCACACACAUCCAUCUCACCCCUAUGUGCACCACCGCGUGGGUCCCCCUUUGGCUUGUUCGGAGGGGGGCUUACGUUUUCACACAAACUUUGUAUGCAGUGUAGAAUGUAUUUUUUGUUUUUGCGAUCACGCAAUCAAUACAACUUUCAACACCGGAUCUCUUGGCUCUC